rnacentral:rRNA from 1 species
ACGGAGGGUGCAAGCGUUAUCCGGAUUCACUGGGUUUAAAGGGAGCGCAGGCGGACUGGUAAGUCAGUGGUGAAAGCCCUGGGCUCAACCCGGGAACUGCCAUUGAUACUAUCAGUCUUGAAUAUCGUUGAGGUUUGCGGAAUGGGUCAUGUAGCGGUGAAAUGCAUAGAUAUGACCCGGAACACCUAUUGCGAAGGCAGCAGGCUAAGCGAAGAUUGACGCUGAGGCUCGAAAGCGUGGGGAUCAAACAGG